UACGGAGGGGGCUAGCGUUGUUCGGAAUUACUGGGCGUAAAGCGUGCGCAGGCGGUGAGCUGUGUCCGAUGUGAAAGCCCCGGGCUUAACCUGGGAAUGGCAUUGGAAACUGGCUCGCUGGAGUGUGGCAGAGGGGGGUGGAAUUCCGCGUGUAGCAGUGAAAUGCGUAGAGAUGCGGAGGAACACCGAUGGCGAAGGCAGCCCCCCUGGGCUAACACUGACGCUCAGGCACGAAAGCGUGGGGAGCGAACCGG
rnacentral:rRNA from 1 species